rnacentral:tRNA from 1 species
CAGUUGGUAGAGCAGCGGACUUUUAAUCCGUUGGUCGCGCGUUCGAGUCGCGCACGACCCACCA